UACGGAGGGUCCAAGCGUUGUCCGGAAUCAUUGGGUGUAAAGGGUGUGUAGGUGGAGGUGUAAGUCAGGGGUGAAAGCCCGCAGCUUAACUGCGGAACUGCCUUUGAUACUGCAUCUCUUGAGUCCUGGAGAGGUCACCAGAAUUCGUGGUGUAGCGGUGAAAUGCGUAGAUAUCACGAGGAAUACCAGAGGCGUAGGCGGGUGGCUGGACAGGCACUGACACUGAGGCACGAAAGCGUGGGGAGCGAACAGG
rnacentral:misc_RNA from 1 species